UACGUAGGUGACAAGCGUUGUCCGGAUUUACUGGGCGUAAAGGGCGCGUAGGCGGCGUGACAAGUCACUUGUGAAAUCUCCGGGCUUAACUCGGAACGGUCAAGUGAUACUGUCGUGCUAGAGUACAGAAGGGGCAACUGGAAUUCUCGGUGUAGCGGUGAAAUGCGUAGAUAUCGAGAGGAACACCUGCGGCGAAGGCGGGUUGCUGGGCUGAUACUGACGCUGAGGCGCGAAAGCUAGGGGGAGCGAACGGG
rnacentral:rRNA from 1 species